UUGUGCUACUUGCUCGUCCCCCGACGGCCUCACCUCACCUCCGCGCUCUGCGCCUCUAGCACCAAGAGCCAAGGAAGGCCAGAGGCAGGGGGCUGUGAACCUCGCCCUCGUCGCGUUGCAAUGGAGCUGCUGACCAAGGCGCCCAUGGUGGACUGCUCUGGGAAGAUGAAGAAGCAGCGGCAACGAGGGUCCAUGCUGGGCUCCAUCGUCGUGGGCACAGGUGGAUCUCCUACAGUCCUGUCCCCGAUUUCGCCCACCGCCAACGCCGCCCCGGCCUCGAUUUCGCUGCCACCAACCGUCCGACCCAGCGUUGUGAUUGGGGGAAGUAGGGAGUGCUCACACCAUUUCUUGUCCACUGACAUCAGCGCUCCACGCCUGCGCCCCCGAAUUCCCAAAUCCUGCGGCGCCUCCGCCCCAACCCCGCUCGUCGACUCCUCUCUUCCAAACACGCCGGAGGAAUCCUUCUCCGCGACUCGUCUUCCACCUCUCUGCCGGGCUGGCGUGGAUUGGUCUCUUCUUCUACUGGUAAGUAAUCCUAGCUUUGCUUGA
rnacentral:misc_RNA from 1 species